CUCCUGUGUGCUUGUGUUUUCCUGGCUGAGAAACCGGUUCUGUGCUGCUCUCUCUCUCUCUCUCUCUCCCUCUCUCUCUCUCUCGCUCUCUCUCUGUCUCUCUUUCUCCGUCUCUCUCUGUCUUUUCUCUUGCUGUGUCUCGCGCUGUUCCAGUAUCGGUGGCUGGGUUGACAGCUGGCGUCCUCUUUGAGGCCCCUUCUUUCAUUUUGUUUCAGCACAAUUUGUGCUUCAGCUUUUUCUUUUUUGAACAGUUGAUCUUUUCUGUUUUUCUCUCUCUCUCUCUCUCUCUCUCUGUCUUUCUCGCUCUCUCUGUUUCUUUCUUUUCAUGCCUCCUCCCCUUCUCUUCCCCCUCCUGACGCUGAUCCGUGGAGGAAGAGGAAGAGGAAGAGGAACAGAAAGGUGUCUCUGGGAAAGGGGGAUGAGAGGCAGAAACAGUGAGACAGAGCGUGAAAGAAAGCGAGCGAGCGAGAGAAGGAGGAGGAGGAGGAGGAGGAGGAGGAGGAGGACGGAGAGAGCCGGACCGAAUCAGAGAGAAGUGAAAAAGGGGAGAAAGAGAAGAGUUGUGAAGAAAGAAGACUGACAGAGAGCAGAGGACGACAACAGGGACAGCCGAACCGAACAAAAUCGCGGGGAAAGCGGAACAACGGGGCGAGACAAGCGGACUCAUCCGACCUCUGCUGUGAUUGGCCGGCCCACACCCACAUCAGCCCUGUCCUGCAGCCUCCCCCAGGUGUUCAGGUGUGGGGUUGCACCUCCACGGCCCGCUGGCCCGCUGGCCCCACGUACCCAGGCGUACGCCGCCGCCACAGGGUGCAAUCAACACAUGCCACAGCACGGCCUCGCCUUCUCACUGCCACCCCAGGGCACUGCAGUACAUGAAGGGUCUGCGUGGCAGUGGUGUGUGGCAGCACAACAGGCCAAAGUGUUGUGGAGCGGUGACAACUCUCCUGGAAAAGGGCUUGUGAAAAAGCCUUAGGAUUUGAAUCUUGCUUCCCCAUAAGGAAGUCUGUCUGCCUGGGUGCUAUCCAUCCCCUUCCUUCACUUUGAUGCCAUACCACGUUAGCGAACAAAAGGACCUUGCAAAAUGGCCAGAGGAUUCAUGUUUUCCUGGGCACAUGAAACAGUAGUGCAAGAAGAACCGAUUUGGUGAGCAUUUGAUUGUGAUGUGUCCUCUAGGAUGUACACCUGUGCACAUAUGGGCGUCUAGUUUUCUUGAUUAGUGGAUUGAGCUUGCAUUGUACUGAGGGAUGUGGAGUAAGGGUGUGUGUGUGUGUGUGUGGGGGGGGGGUCGUCUUCAAGAGCUAAUCAUUAUCCAAUAGAAGGCUGACCACCUGAUUUAGCAGAAGCACUCCUUCUGAUGGAUGGGGUCUCAGAAUGCCUCUGUUGAAGGUGUGCUCCACUGAAUUGACUGGAGGUCUGAACUUUUGCUGCAGGCAUAUACAUAAUUUAUCACGAGAAAAUGUUAGCAAAACCUUCAAUUCCAACUAACAGCUUUAAUCGACACAAUGGCGGGCAACUUCAUCAAGUGCAUUAGUGAUUUUAUUUAACGUGGAGAAAGGGAGAAUUACGUGGUGCACUUUCGGUAAGAUGCUUUUAGUGAACUCAGCCGACGCUUGACAAAACGCUGACAGCUGCAGUCCCGUGUCAUGUACUGUGAAUUUAUCAAGCUUGUUGUGGUGAGGUUUUUAACUGAGGUGGUUUUCCAUGACACAACACUGUCUCAAGUCUAGUUUCCGUGUUGGUCAAACCAGGUGUCUGCCAUUAGGGGGCGCCCUCCUGCAGUUCUAUUAUGUCGCAACUGCAUGUCUUUGCAGGGUUAGAACUACGUUUUAGCGUUAAUGCACAAUGCACAGGACUGUCGGAAGUCGUGUUUAACAAUAAGAUGCCUUACUGAUCAUUUUCAAACGCUCGUUUCUGUCUUCACAGGUUGAUGCGGGCCUUCAAAUCUUUAAUUUUAUUUUAUUAUUUAAUAAUUUUUUUUUGGGGGGGGGGGUGGAGACAGGAUCCUGCAGGAUCUCCAUCUUCCCUUGUCCUCACAUCACCUGGACCGUUGGAGGGCGUGAGUUCAGAGUCAUCCCGGCGCACACAGAGCAGUCGACAGUCGAUUUUCAACAGGAAAAAAAGGGAAUUAUACAGGGUAUACCCAUUGGUUUUGUGAAUUAGGUUUAGGAAUGACACGACGAAAGGUUUUGUGACUAGUUUGCAUCAAGAAGACUAAAACGCGCAAGAUAAUGUCAUAGAAACUUGUCACACUGGUGCACAUUGCUGUCUUUAAAGGGAAGAUCUCGGAGCUUCUCUGCGGCAUGCUAUAUUGUGGUGAAAUGCAGUAUCUAAUUCUGCCUCCAUUGUGUCAUCCUGACACUUAGCUUUCUGUUACCAGUAAAAAUGUGUGAUGUCGCGUAUUAUUAAUAGCAUGAUGUAUAGAGACACCAUGUAGCUCAUAAGCUUCAGUUUGAUAGUACACUGCAACAUUUGUUUCUCGAAGGUUCCUCACAUCUUUUUUUUCACAGAUGUGAUAUGACAAAAGCUGACGAGAAAAAAAAACGAAAAGCCAAGAAGGAAAAAAAUCACUAACGUGUCUGAGUUUCAAAAAUUGUUUAAGACAAGCCUUUGUGUCCCAGCGUGCACCUCUGUCCCUGAGACCCUUAACCUGUGAAGUCAUAACAGGUCACAGGUGAGGUCCUCAGGAACAGGGUUUCAUGCGUUUUCACCCCAGUAGUCCUGUAGAGUUCUGCUGUACAUUCACUUCCCUGAGAUAGAGAGACCCAAAAGGUAAUCUACGGCUUUAAAACCACUCACGAAUGAAGUGUGCUGAUGACCUUUCCUAAAACUGCUGAUCUAACUAAAAAGGACCAGACCCGCAGAUUGAACGAUACGCCCUAUGAAUAUUCAUCGCAACGAUUACUAGCCUUUCAUCAGACAUUUUCCGAGCAAGGGCAGAGAGAGGGAAAACAGAGAAGAAAAGAGGGUAGGAUGCUAAAUGAAGGAGGACGAGAGACCGAGGAAGAGGAUGAGGAAGAGCAAAUUGUUCUUGACUCAAGGGGGCAUACCCUUUUGGCUGUCUUUGUUGUUCUCACCCCUGAGAGAUGUGAUGAGAAGGCAGCCAAGGCCAGUGACCCCGACACACAGUCCUCGCUGAAUGUGAUGGCUAAUGAAUGCAUCCCUCCUAUGGCAUAUAAACAGCUCUGAUAUUCUAUAUGAUGUUUCUUCUCUGGCACUACAUGAAUAAACAUGUGUUCUCACAAAAGAGUGUCCAUUAAAUAUUUCUUAUGCAAUAUUUCAUAGAAUGUGUACGUUUGUAUUUGUGUGUGUGUGUGUGUGUCUGUGUGAGAGAGAGAGAGAGAGAGAGAGAGAGAAAAGGAGAUAGAUAAUCUCUGCGUGGUGUUUAAUUCCACUGUGCAAACGAACAGGAUGAAGCCUGAAGCAUCUGUUGUGCAGAAGAAUAAAGAUGAUCUGAACGUCUGAAAGAGCUCAGAAUCCAAUCAAGGCCCACACACCCACCAACUUUAUUACAGAUUCCUCCAUUUCCUAUAUGACUCCCGAAGCUGUUAAAGAACAUUAAGAUCUCAUUAGUAAUCCAAGCACUCCGCCACAGUCCAAUGAGCCCAGCUCAUAUAUAGGGCUAUUCGGGGGG
ensembl:lncRNA